rnacentral:rRNA from 1 species
AGAUUGAACGCUGGCGGCAGGCCUAACACAUGCAAGUCGAGCGGUAGAGAGGUGCUUGCAUCUCUUGAGAGCGGCGGACGGGUGAGUAAUGCCUAGGAAUCUGCCUAGUGGUGGGGGAUAACGUUCGGAAACGGACGCUAAUACCGCAUACGUCCUACGGGAGAAAGCGGGGGACCUUCGGGCCUCGCGCCAUUAGAUGAGCCUAGGUCGGAUUAGCUAGUUGGUGAGGUAAUGGCUCACCAAGGCGACGAUCCGUAACUGGUCUGAGAGGAUGAUCAGUCACACUGGAACUGAGACACGGUCCAGACUCCUACGGGAGCAGCAGUGGGAAUAUGGACAAGUGGGACGAAAGCCUAGAUACCAGCCAUGCCGCGUGUGUGAAGAAGGUCUUCGGAUUAGUAAAGCUACUUUAAGUUGGGAAGGAAGGCAGUUACCUAAUACGUAUCUAGUUUGACGUUACGACAAGAAUAAGACACCGGCUAACUC